rnacentral:rRNA from 1 species
ACGCACGCUGGCGGCAUGCCUCACACCUGCCAGUCGAACGAUGCUUUCGGGCAUAGUGGCGCACGGGUGCGUAACGCGUGGGAAUCUGCCCUUGGGUUCGGAAUAACAGUGAGAAAUUGCUGCUAAUACCGGAUGAUGUCUUCGGACCAAAGAUUUAUCGCCCAGGGAUGAGCCCGCGUAGGAUUAGCUAGUUGGUGGGGAAUGGCCUACCAAGGCGACGAUCCUUAGCUGGUCUGAGAGGAUGAUCAGCCACACUGGGACUGAGACACGGCCCAGACUCCUACGGGAGGCAGCAGUGGGGAAUAUUGGACAAUGGGCGCAAGCCUGAUCCAGCAACGCCGCGUGAGUGAUGAAGGCCUUAGGGUUGUAAAGCUCUUUUACCCGGGAUGAUAAUGACAGUACCGGGAGAAUAAGCUCCGGCUAACUCCGUG